GUUGAACGCUGGCGGCAGGCCUAACACAUGCAAGUCGAACGGUAACAGGAAGCAGCUUGCUGCUUUGCUGACGAGUGGCGGGCGGGUGAGUCAUGUGUGGGCAACUCCCUGAUGGAGGGGGAUAACUACUGGAAACGGUAGCUACUACCGCAUAGCGUCUCAAGCCCAAAGAGGGGGGCCUUCGGGCCGCUUGCCAUCGUAUGUGCCCGGAUGGGCGUCGCUAGUAGGUGGGGUUACGGCUCACCUAGUCGACGAUCCGUACCUGGUCUGAGAGGAUGACCGGCCACACUGGAACUGAGACACGCACCAGACGCCUGAGGGAGGCAGCAGUGGGGAAUAUUGCACAAUGGGCGCAAGCCUGAUGCAGCCAUGCCGCGUGUAUGAAGAAGGCCUUCGGGUUGUAAAGUACUUUCAGCGGGGAGGAAGGGAGUACAGUUAAUACCUUGGCUCAUUGACGGUACCCGCAGAAGAAGCACCGGCUAACUACGUG
rnacentral:rRNA from 1 species